rfam:Firmicutes bacterium CAG:272 genomic scaffold, scf311
AAAAUUCUUUGGGGCGCGGUGGAAGUCCGCACCGGCGGUGACAGUCCGCGAACACUUGAGAGAGUGCCGAAUGAGUGGAAAUCUCAUACCGACGGUAAUUGCAGAAAAAUCUGCAUAAGUCCGGAUGGAAAAAGAAAGCG